rnacentral:tRNA from 1 species
AGAUAUAGCUCAGUUGGUAGAGCAUUAUUUAUGUGUAAUAAAUGUCAGCGGUUCGAGUCCGCUUAUCUC